UACGUAGGGUGCGAGCGUUAAUCGGAAUUACUGGGCGUAAAGCGUGCGCAGGCGGUUAUGUAAGACAGAUGUGAAAUCCCCGGGCUCAACCUGGGAACUGCAUUUGUGACUGCAUAGCUAGAGUACGGUAGAGGGGGAUGGAAUUCCGCGUGUAGCAGUGAAAUGCGUAGAUAUGCGGAGGAACACCGAUGGCGAAGGCAAUCCCCUGGACCUGUACUGACGCUCAUGCACGAAAGUGUGGGGAGCAAACAGG
rnacentral:rRNA from 1 species